GAUGAACGCUGGCGGCGUGCCUAAUACAUGCAAGUCGAGCGAACGGACGAGAAGCUUGCUUCUCUGAUGUUAGCGGCGGACGGGUGAGUAACACGUGGAUAACCUACCUAUAAGACUGGGAUAACUUCGGGAAACCGGAGCUAAUACCGGAUGAUAUUUUGAACCGCAUGGUUCAAAAGUGAAAGACGGUCUUGCUGUCACUUAUAGAUGGAUCCGCGCUGCAUUAUCUAGUUGGUAAGGUAACGGCUUACCAAGGCAACGAUGCAUAGCCGACCUGAGAGGGUGACCGGCCACACUGGAACUGAGACACGGUCCAGACUCCUACGGGAGGCAGCAGUAGCGAAUAGUCCGCAAUGGGCGAAAGCCUGACGGAGCAACGCCGCGUGAGUGAUGAAGGUCUUCGGAUCGUAAGACUCUGUUAUUAGGGAAGAACAUAUGUGUAAGUAACUGUGCACAUCUUGACGGUACCUAAUCAGAAAGCCACGGCUAACUACGUG
rnacentral:rRNA from 1 species